AGCGGCGGACGGGUGAGUAACACGUGGGCAACCUGCCUUGAAGUGGGGGAUAGCCCUCCGAAAGGAGGAUUAAUACCGCAUAACAUCAGUACAUCGCAUGAUGAAUUGAUUAAAGGAGUAAUCCGCUUCAAGAUGGGCCCGCGGCGCAUUAGCUAGUUGGUGAGGUAACGGCUCACCAAGGCGACGAUGCGUAGCCGACCUGAGAGGGUGAUCGGCCACAUUGGGACUGAGACACGGCCCAGACUCCUACGGGAGGCAGCAGUGGGGAAUAUUGCACAAUGGGGGAAACCCUGAUGCAGCAACGCCGCGUGAGUGAUGAAGGCCUUCGGGUUGUAAAGCUCUGUCUUCAGGGACGAUAAUGACGGUACCUGAGGAGGAA
rnacentral:rRNA from 1 species